CUGAGAGGCACCCCUCUUCUGUUGCACAUUCACUCACAUGGCAGAUCUGGUGGACUCUCUAAAAUGCUUUUCAAACAUAUCUUUCAUAAUUCAUCC
rfam:Equus caballus cont2.34181, whole genome shotgun sequence.